AUUCCAGCUCCAAUAGCGUAUAUUAAAGUUGUUGCAGUUAAAAAGCUCGUAGUUGAAUUUCUGGUGGGAGUGUACAGUCCGACACUGAGUGUUGGUUCUUGUGUGUCUCCGGCCAUCCUUGGAGUGAAUCUGUCUGGCAUUUAGUUGUUGGGCAGAGUAUCUCCAUCGUUUACUGUGAGGAAAGGAAAGUGUUCAAAGCAGGCUUACGCCGUUGAAUCUUUUAGCAUGGAAUAAUAAGAUAGGAUCUUGAUACUAUUUUGUUGGUUUGUGUACGGAAAUAAUGAUUAACAGGAACAGUGUUGUGGGUAUUCGUAUUUCGUUGUCAGAGGUGAAAUUCUUGGAUUUACGAAAGACGAACGACUGCGAAAGCAUUUACCAAGGAUGUUUUCAUCA
rnacentral:rRNA from 1 species